GUCCCUUCGGGGACAUCUGAUAAAAUUAGAACCAUCAAAGAAGACUAGCAUGACCCCUACACAAAGAUGACAAAGGGUGGUUGAUCGAUCAAUCUCUGGUCCAUUCCAAAUAUUU
rnacentral:snRNA from 2 species